GCCACACGGAGCACAUUGCAGCCAUUCAGUUUCUUCUCCAGGGGAUAGGAGGUAUAGGCCAGUCCAGCCUGGUGACAUAGUGUGCACUCCAAUGUAUUUUGUUACAAGCUAAUAAAGGCUUUCAUCCUUUGUACAAGACACUGGUGUGUUUCUUUUUUUGGAAUUUAUCCAGAAAUAUUCUUCCUAUUCUCAGGGUUCCUAAAACUACAUUAAAUAUUAUCUGCCUACGGUAAGUGACAAAAUCAACAGAACCUAGGUUUUUUGCUUCAUUUUAAAAAAAAAAAAUUCUAUUAUUAAUGCAUUAAACCUGGCGUUUUGGCUUAAUUUUAAUUUGGAUAAUUCAUUUUGCCUACAUAAAUUUUCCCAAAGUUUCAAUUAAAUACGGCAUCCUUUGAUUCUGAUCCUGAACCAACAUUCUUAUUUUUCUGAAUCAUUGAACAGCUGGCACAUUCCCACCCCCAGAUUAGGUUUCCAUCCAUUCCAAGUUAGUAAACAUCAUUCAGAAUUCAAAAUAAAAAAAAUGCAUCUUAAACUAGUAAUAUUUUUUUUUAAGAGACUAUGUCUCUAUGUUGCCCGGGCUGAACUGAAACUCUGAGAUCAAGCAAUCCUCCCACCUUAGCCUCCCGAGUAUCUGGCUUGUGCCACCCCUCCCAGCUAAAUAUUUCAGCAACUUCAGAGGCACUUAAUUUUCCUCCUUUUGUAAACUGGCAAUCUUGACUCUAACAUUGCUAGGAAUUACUUAUCUAUAUUUGUCCUUAAAUACAAGACUAUUAAAAAAAAAUCAAGGGCUGCUUUCUGCCCGUGGAUACCGCUGAGGAAGCCUCGUUAAAGUCUCUCUUCCCAGGGCCGUCCUGUCCUAAAGAGCCGGAACAGCUGCGGAAGCUCUUCAUGGGAGGGCUGAGCUUUGAAACAACCGAUGAGAGCCUGAGGAGCCCUUCUGAGCAGUGGAGAAGGCUCACAGAUUGUGUGGACUCCAAGUGAAGGUGAAAGAGACCAGACGAGACCUUUCCUAAUUCCAUUCAUCUCUGAGGGAUUUAUAAGGAAGUUACCAACCCCUGGUCUAAAUAAUCAAACAGAGAAAAGAAGAAAAGGAAAAAAGGAUCAGAGGACACAGAAGAAUUUCUGGACACACUUCCAUCUGCUAAUUAAAUGGAAGGAGCAAGUUUGGGUUUUUUUGUUUUUCCUCUACCUCAAUCAAAGACUAUGAAUCUUUCUUUUAAUCUCUGGAGCUAACUUCUCUAAUUAGUUUCCUAGAGGAAGAGGAUGCUUUACUAUUGGCAUUUCACACUCUGCACAAUGGUAUGAACUUGACAUACCUCAGCUGAUCCAGCAGAAAGAGCUCUAAAACUCAAAAGUUAUGUCAUCAGUAACUGUCAAUAGAUAGAAGUGUUCGCAGGUACUACUAGUUCCAAUACUCAUUGACUUUGUAACAACUGGUAUAUUAGCUACAAUCAAACAAAAUGAGGUAUUCUUUACAAGAAUUACAUAAGCCCUUUCCAAUAAAUUUUCUGUAACGAUGGAAAUAUUCUAUAAUCUGUCUAGAUAACUAGUUUGGGAUGAGGUGAGGGGGAAGGAGAGAUUACAAAAGGGCUUGGAGGAAACUUUUAAGCAUAAAAGAUGUGUUCAUUCCUUUGAGCAUAUUGAUGGUUUCAAAUUUCAUUUUAAAUUUGUCAAAGUACAUAUGUUAAAUAUAUACUGUUUACUUUUUACCUCUAUAAAGCUGUAAGAGAGUAUAUGUGUGUGUGUGUGUGUGAGAGAGAGAGAGUGUGUGUGUGUGUGAGUGUCUGUGUCCUACUGGGUUAAAAACAUAAAGGCCAUAUCACUUUUGCUGAAGAGCUGCUUUAUGGUGUGCAGCUAGAGUUUUGCUUCGAGUACAUAAUCUUUGUCAUUCCUGGAAUUCAGAAAUGUCAGACCAUUGAUGGAAGUCAAGGGAAACCAACAUUAAUGUCUCCUGGCUGGAGACACAGAAGAAGGAAGCAGGGGCCAGAUCACAUAGACACUGGGUAGAUAAGUGCAAAGUAUUCUUAUUUAAUUCUAAAUAAGACUGUAAUGGGAAAUCAAUGCAGAAUUUAGGAAAGGAUUUUAUUUUCAGAGUUCCCUUUGUGGUUGCUUUUAGUUAUACUGUUCAAACUAUAGAUAUACGGUUCCAAAACUCAAUACAUAUAAAAAUGUAUCUAACGAAAAACCCUCUGCAUUAGUUAUCUAUUACUAUAUAAUAAAUUAUCCCAAAACAUAA
rnacentral:lncRNA from 1 species